UACGAGGGGUGCAAGCGUUGCUCGGAAUUAUUGGGCGUAAAGGGUAGGUAGGUGGUCUUGUUUGUCCGGGGGUGAAAUCCCUUGGCUUAACUGAGGAAGUGCCUCGGAAACGGCAAGACUUGAGUUCCGGAGAGGAUCGUGGAAUUCCCGGUGUAGCGGUGAAAUGCGUAGAGAUCGGGAGGAACACCAGAGGCGAAGGCGGCGAUCUGGGAAGAUACUGACGCUGAGGUGCGAAAGCGUGGGGAGCAAACAGG
rnacentral:rRNA from 1 species